ACCUAAGUUCAGUAAUCAAAACUCGAUAUUUUAAAAAUCAGUGCCAAUCAUAGAAAUGAUCAUAAGUUCAUUGGAACAAUUAACUCAAACUUUAACAAAAGCCGAUCAAAAAAAAAAAAAAAAAAAAGAGAGGGCAACUUUCAAGGUUUUGUUUUUAAAAGCGUGCACAAAAUACUGAAAGAGGUAGUCAAAUGCGUGAAAAGAAGGGAAAUAAAUAGAGGCAGUGUGGGGAGGUGGAGGCGGCAGGUGAGGGUAUUAAUGGAGGCACUACUCUAAAUGGCAAGAAUGCACUUGCAUGGGUGUCAGCAAUUCUUCUACAUAUUGGAAGAGUGAGGUGUGGUGGGGUGGGAAUAGGAGUGGGUAGUAAAGGGUUGGCGUGGGUGUGGGGGGUGUCGGUGGUGACCACCUAAUUGUGAGUUCUUAGAGAGACGAUUCUUCACUGUACAUGAAACCCCCUCGGCGCAUCUUAGUAAUGCUUGCCAGCUUAGUUAAAGUUUUCUUUUUUCUGCUUUGGGAAAAAUUCUCAAUUUUAUUCCAAUUCCCUAUCAAACGAAAAUAUCAAUAAAUUCU
rnacentral:lncRNA from 1 species